rnacentral:lncRNA from 1 species
CAGAUAGCUGUGCCUGGCCUCAGGCCUGUUGAUCUGUGCUUGCAACUCUACUGAAGGAGGAAGAGUAGAGGUUUGUGAGCUCCAAAGUUGUGGCCAAGUGUGCAACCUCUGCCUGUGAUGAGACAUCCUCAUAGUUACUGGUCUGCUUUUACAUUAAUCUUGGGCUGCUGUCCUUUGCUUAGAUGGAACACCUUUGAAAUGAAAGUUUAAGUCAGUCCAAGCUGUUGCACUGGCAGCUGAACGGAUCUGGGGAGACACGUCUUUCAAAGGAGGGAGAAAGAAUUGAACAUGUUUGGACACCUGAGCCAGGCAGCAACCACCGCAGCAUCCUCCUGUCCUGUGUGGCUCAGGACCAGAUCUUGGACAGACUUAAGUUGCCAUAGCUCAAAGAAGCCCUGCGAAGCUACAAAAUUGGCAGCUGGAGGAAACUGUCUCUCUCCCCACAACAGCGAGCCAUUUGAUGCAGGACUUUUCCUGUCCCAGGAAAUAAAGAAUUGGCACGAAAGGAUCAUCUCUGACCUGGAUGGAGCUUGAACUGGAAUUCCAGGAGCUGGUCUGCUGAAACAGCUGCAAUUAAACAGAACAUAACUGCAUUAUGUCUGCUGACUUUCCUGUGCAGGGUAUAAGAAAGAUUACUCAUUCAGUGAUACUGAUGCAUCAUUAAGCAUAAGGAAUAACCUAAAUUAGAAUUCAAGGCUCCUGGGUGUUGUGUUUAGUUGUUCAUUG